rnacentral:lncRNA from 1 species
UUAGGUCCAGGGACAGAAUAUUCCCUACUGCCUUUCAUACAAUUCCACGCACAAACCCAGCACCAGGCAGGGUUCCCAGAAUGUAUGAAGACAAUGACAGCUCUGCCUCUCAUUGUUCCUGCCCCGCCCCAGUUCCUGUGCAGUAAGCUCUGCUUGUCCCUCCCUGUCCCAUUCUGACAUACUCAUACCCCACCUCAGUUCUCCUCACCUUUGGCCUGUUCCUCCAUGGGCUCAGGGUUUUCUGUCAAGGCUGGGACCUGGUGUCCUUGGUCCUCCUCCUCGGGGCCUGUGACAGUGACCUGGCUGUGGACAUUACCAAGUGGGUAGUGAGGCAAAUGCAAGUGAGGGAGUGAGGAGACCACCCAAGAGGGAUGGGGGGGGCAGCACUAUGAGAGGCCUGGCCUUUCCUACCAUGAGGUCAGUGAUCUUGGCACCCCACAGUUCAGAGGAGAGGGCUGAAGCUCAGAGAGUCACAGGGCCAGUAUCAGGACUCACAGCUGUAUGUGACCCUGUCACCCUGGGCAGGGCUUACCUUCCCAACAUUUGGCCCAUCUCUUGUUGGGUGGAGGAACUCGAGAUGUUUGAGGCCGAAGAGAAACAGUCAUAGAAGAAGGCAGGCUCCAGGGUCUCCUCCAGGUCCCCCAGGGAGUACGCCUGGAACACAUAUCCAAUGCUGGUGUCAUCCCCUCUGUAGCCACCUUCUUGGUUGGGACAUUGAAGAAACAGAGUCAGUGCCAAACUGACCCACCAGAAGUGUCUGGGGGUGGAGUCCAGUGCAAUAGCAAAAGCACAUAGGGGCUUGUCCCACAGAGGGACAGGAGAGCUCCAGCAGGGCAAUGGCUGGCAGAGUUCACAGUGGAAUUGCUGAGGGGAUAGUUAGAAACACAGCAGCUUCACCCCAGUGUGUUAUCUGAGCAGAGGUGGCAGCUCUGUGCAUUCGGAGCUUAUCCCCUGAGUCCCACCAGCACACCACCUUCUGGAGAUGGGAAAACGGGCUCAUCCCAGACGGGAGGGUCCCUGUGUAAGGACACCCAGGACAUCAUUCUCUGUGGUGCUGUUGACAUGGCUCCAGGACAGAAUGAGGUCCAGGUCCCACAGCCCUGAAAGGCUGAAUGGCUGUGGAACCUGGGUCCCCCUGGAAGGUGGUGAGGUCCUGGGGGCUCAGCUUCUACUUUCCCAGUCUGUGUUCCUUGAGACAGCAAGUACCAGAGAAAUGGACCAAUUGGCAGGAGCCUUGUGAUGUUUCAGCUAAACGCAGCCCUAGUAAUCCUGAUGCUGUGUAAGACUUGGAGAGAGUGUGGAAGGACCGUCAGGCCAUUGUCACCUGGACACCUGGGUGUAGGAGUUAUAGUCAGUUGGGUGGCAGAGUACAAAUCAUCAGAGAAUUAAAAUGAAAUAAUGUCCCUGUUGCUGUUCUGUUGUUGUCACAAAUAUGGGAAUUGUGACCUUGGAUGAGUCCAAGAACGAGGCAGGCAGAGAGGGUGAGGAGGAUGGGUGAGGAUUUGUUGUUCAGAUUCCUCACGGUGGGGACUCUGCCCCUCCACCUCCCAUCCCUAUCAGGAAGGUGGUCCUGGUGGUGUCUGUGCUCUUAUUCACUUUUAUUCUGCUCUGUGCCCUGCCAGUAGAGUCCCCCCUGUCCCGCACUUAUCCUGAGGCCCAGCUCCUGCCCAUUGGUGCUUGGCUCUGGAUAUUCCUCAGUGGACGUGGGGUUGGAGCUGAAGCUGCAGCUCCAGUGCUUAUUGAGGAUAAACUGUGGAAAGAAUGGAAGACAGUGCCUGGUAGCUGGCCGGGAGCCCCAGCCCCUGCUCGCCUCCAUUCAGGGUGUUUGUGUCUCUUGUGGCCUUCUGCUCCCCCGACCUAAUACAGACCCUGUGUCUCAGGUUUUACCCUGUAAGACAGGAAAUGAUACUGGGUGCCCAGGCCGUACCGUGGACACUUUCAUUCCCCACCUUUUUCCCUGUCCUGGGGGUGACCAUGAUAGGACACGAGGCUCACAAUCUCCCACCACCUUUUCCUGCCUCAGGUCCCUGUUCUCCCCUACUGAGGAGCAAGGUGGUGGGACUCUGCAGGGCUACUCACAGUGAUGUUCUCUCCUGGAUGUACCUCACCAGGGCUAUCAGGUGUGGACCUAAAGCUACUCCUCCCACUUUCAGGUGUGCCAAUUGGAGGAGGACCAUCAGCGAGGCACAGGCAGCAGCACAUGAAGCAACUUCGCAGUUGUUUCCAAAAGUUUCUUCUUUUGGGUGUCCAGUGGAUUGGGUCUGGGGAAGGGGCCGUGCAGCCAUAGGGGGAGCUCUGGCGACGUGGCCUCCUAAAGGGUCGGCCUCCACAGGGGAAGCAGGACAACAUGUUUUGGCUUUCAAAGUAUUUCACCAAAUGAGCUGGGAGGAGGCUGUUGCUAGAAUGUGGGUGCCUGGUUACUGGGUUCCAAGUUCUGUUUGACUCUAUGACCAAGGAAGGGGGCCCAUGUCUUGGGGUUCCUGGCCUAACCCAUCCUCCAGAUAAGCCCAUGUUUGUCCCUCUGUUGGCUCUCCUCCAGCCCCAUGCCAUUGCCAUAUGUUUACACAGCCAACCCCAACACUAGCCCCACAUCCCUUGGCAGGCAUGGGUGUAGCCAGGGUCCCAGCUCUGAGGAGACACAUCUAGGUUUCAACCCUGCUCCUCCUCCUGUCCUCUCAUGUGACCUUGGACAAGUCAUCAUGUCUCUAAGGCUUGCCCAGUGUCCCCCUGCACAGUGUCUACUUCCUAGCACUGUCACCAGGCAUAUCUGACAUAACACUUAGAAACGAUGUUGUCAAAUGUCUGUAAUGCACAAAAGUAGAGAUAAAAUAUGGAAACAGGUGAAAUUUUAACGUAGAAUAGAGCUAAGGACAGGCCUAGUCUCCUGCCUGCUGACUUUGAAAAUGCCAUUUUCCUUCCUGGCCUUCUUUCUCUGUCUGCAUCUUGAGGGGGUUGAAAUGCAAUUAGUGGGGAUAUCCUCAUCUCCCAGAGCCACCCACCUUGUUCUCUUUGGGAUGAGAGUAAGCACAGUCACAUUUAGUAAAUGAAUGAGCAAGAAUACCUUCACCUCCAUCACCCUUUCUACUCAAGUCCCAUCAAAAUAAUAAUAAUAAUAAUAAUAAUAAUAAUAAUAACCCUUCAAAAGAUCACUGUGAAGAACUCCAUACCAGGUAGGUACAGAACAUAUUCAAAAAUCUAUAACUAUGUGUAUUUGUAACUCUGUAGCAAAAUUACCUGAAAUUUUGUGGCUUAAAACAGAGAAAUUUAUUUUCUCAUGGUUCUGGAGGUGAGAAAUCUCAACAUGCCACAGGGCCAUGUUCCCUCUAGUCUCUAAACAACAAUCCUUUCUGAUCUUUUUCAAUUUUUAAUGGCCCUAUGUUUUCCCAGGUUUAGGACAGUGUCACUCCAAACUCCACCUCCAAUCUUCACAUAGCCUCCUCCUUAUUCUGUGUCCUCUCCUCUUCUUGAAGGGACACUUGACAUUAGAUUUAGAGCCCAUUCAGAUAAUACAGCAUGAUCAUCAUGAUCUCAUCUUGAGAUCCUUAAUUACAUGUGCAAGGAUCUUUUUCCAAAUACAGUUAGAUUCACUCAUUCUGAGACAAACCCACAGAAUACAGUUACUCAUACUAGACAAAGGUGCCAAAAACAUACAUUGGAGAAAAGAUAGCCUCUUCAAAAAAUGGUGUUGGGAAAACUAGAAAUCCAUAUGAUGCAAGAUGUAAUUAAACUCCUCUCUCCCUGCACAAAACUCAACUCAAAGUGGGCCAAGGACUUAGGCUUUAUAACAGAGACCCUACACCUAAUAGAAGAAAAAAGGAGACUGAAAUCUAUGUCAGCUUAGGAACUGAGUUCCUUAUCAAGACUCCUAAAGCACAAGGAGUAAAAUCAAGAAUUAAUAAAUGGGAUGGAAUCAAACUAAAAACCUUCAUCACAGCAAAGCAAACAAUCAAGCACAUGAAGAGAGAGCCUACAAAAUCAGAAAAACUCUUUACUUGCACCUGCACCUCAAAUACAGCAUUAUUCUCCAGGAUACAUAAAGAACUCAACAAACUCAACAACAACAACAACAAAAAUAACCCAAUGAAGAAAUAAGCAUCCAGCAGCUAGAGAGGCUGGGAUGGGAAGAUCACAAGUUCAAAGCCCAGCCUCAGUAACCGCAAGGUGCUAAGCAACUCAGUGAGACCCUAUCUUUAAAGAAAAUAUAAAAUAGGUAUGGGGAUGUGGCUCAGUGGUUGAGUGCCCCUGAGUUCAAUUCCCAGUAUCAAAAAAAAAAAAAGGAAAUAAUCAAAGGAACUAAACAGAUACUUCACAAAAGAAGAAGUAUGAUCAGAUAAAAAAUAUGAGAAAAUGUUCAACAUCUCUAGCAAUUAGAGAAAUGCAAACUAAACUAAAACCAUACAAGUAACAGCAAAUGUUUGCAAGGAUGUGGGAAAACAAGUACACUCAUACAUUGCUGGAGGGACUACAAAUUGGUGCAACCACUCUGGAAAGCAGUAUGGAGAUUCCUUAGAAAAGUUGAAAUGGAACUACCAUUUGAUCCAGUUAUCCACUUCUUGGCUUAUACCCAAAGGACUUAAAAUCAGACUACUACAGUGACACAGUCACAUCAAUGUUUAUAGCAGAUCAGUUCACAAUAGCCAAACUAUGGAGCCAAUCUAGGUGCUAUUCAACAGAUAAAUGAAUAAAUAUGCGGUAUAUAUACACAAUGGAAUAUUAAUAAGCAAUAAAGAAGUAUGAAAUUAUGGCAUCUGCUGGUAAAUGGAUAGAACUGGAGAAUAUCAUGCUAAGUGAAGUAAGCCAGUCCCCAAAAUCUAAAGGUCAAGGCUUCUCUCUGUUAUGUAGAUGCUAACCCAUAAUCAGGUACAGUAGGCACAGGAAGUAUAGAAGUUCACUGGAUUAGGCAAAGGGAAAUGAAGGGAAGAGAGGGGAGAUGGGGAAAGGAAAGGCAGUAGAAUGAAGCACACAUUACUUUCCCAUGCUAAUAUACGAAUACACGACCAGUGUAACUCCACAUCAUGUUCAACCACAAGAAUGGGAUCAAAAUUAUAAUGGGUUGUACCCCAAGUAUGUAUGGUAUGUCAAAAUACAGUUGACUGUCCUGCAUCUCUAAAAACAAACAAACGCUGAAAGUGAGAUGUUGAGGAUUGAAGGUCAGUAGUCACCUGGUAAGACCAAUCCCAGCAGUUCACACUGUGCUUUAUUCUGUUCACCAAAUAGGUCUUAGACCUGGGAAGUCUUCUUGUCAUACCUCACAGGAUGGCUCCACCUUAAGCCAAAAUGUGUUUGAAUUUUGUUAUUUCAUAGGCCCAACUUAGUUUUCCAUAAAGCAAAAUCAACAUUCAUCUUAUGGUGUACUUCAGUUUGUUAUUGUAGUUCCCUCUUAUCAAAAAUUUCAAUUUCUGUGGUUUCACUAAAAUGUGGUCCAAAAACAGUAAAUUUAAAACUACAGAAAAAAAAACCACUGUGUAAGUUUUAAAUUUUUCACAAUUCUUAAUACAAUGAUCAGGUAUUAAGAUUAGGUAGCAUCAUUCUCUAUCAUGACUAUGCCGUGAAUCAUCCCUUUGUCCUAUGAUGCAGGACGUGUAGUCGACCCACACAUUAGUUCCUAAACAGCCAUCUGGUCAUGAGGUAAACUGUGGUGGUUUGCACUGCUUGUACAUGGAGUUCAAUUCUAUCUGUAAUUUCAGGUUUCUACAUAGGAUAUUGAAAGGGAUCCAAUUCACAUUGAAGUCUUUCUCUUGGAACCAAAGAAGAACUGGAACAUGACUUUGAGAAACAUUUCUUUUUCCUAGGCUUCUCUGAUCUCUCUCAGCUAUAGAGACAUUGGGUUUUUUUUCAUCUCUACUUUUCAACAUAAACCAGUUCCUCCACUGAGUACCCUGAAACUUCCUGCCUUUUGCCCCAUUGCAAACUCUGUGGAAAAGAGCAUUUACUCACAUAGCUCCCUCUUCCUAAUACGCUGCAUGCCACACUGGAAUCUCUCCUCUAGAACACUAUGAUCCCCCAACAUGGCUCCAGCAUCAGUUCUGACUUUCUCCCCAUACAUUGAUUAAUUUGAGUCUCUGCUCUCCUGUGCUCAUCAGAGGUAGUUGGACAGUUUGUGUGUUCCUCCUCUGGCUUCUGCUCUGGAUCCUACUGGGUUGUUUUAGUGUUUCGGGGUGACAAUUCUCUACUGAAAAAGAAAAGGGUGACAAGUAUCUUUUAUAAACAUAUUAUUAAUUUGCUCUCAUAAGAGUGACCUCCAAUACUUGUGGCAGCUCUAGCUCCAGCUCCAUCACCAUCCUGAGAACCAGAGGAGCCGUUGCCAGAAACUCCUUCACCACCAGCUCCAGAUCUCAGGUACUAGAGGCUCAACAGCCAGUGCCAGCUCCUGAGCUGCACCUUGGACCUGCUAUGCCCAGAGCAGCCCUUCACCUCCCUUACCAUUUCACUUGUUUUCCUAUUAGUUUUGGUUAUUUUUUAUUUGCUGAUGAUUAAUUUUAAAUAAAAUUUAGUAGUUUACUCAUUUGAAAUAUUUAGUUCAAUGCAAUUAAGUGCAUGUUCAAUGUUGUAUAACCAUCACCAUUGUCUAGUUCCAGAAUAUUUUCCUCAAUCCUGUCCCCGCUCAUUGUCCUGGUUGGCCCCAGCAGCCACUCAUCAUUCUAUCCAUGUGUUGCAGAUUUGUAAUCAACAGAUAGUUGCCGGACAUCUGCUCUCUGCAUCACUGUGGGGAUGGAGGCAGAUGCAGGGCACUGUGCCACGUCACUUCUCACCCCUCCACCAAAUCAGAGACUCCUGGACUCUACCUGAUGUUUCCUGCCAACCUUACCAACUUUCAGGUUGGCCUUAUAGUGUCCUUGCCUCCCAUUUCAAGAAACGGAAGAUACAUUGUCCCCAUCAUGCUUUAAAGAAGACUGAAAUUAUGGCAAUAAUAAGACAAUCCCUCAAAAUACAAAGGCCAAAUGUUUUUUCUAACAUGUGGAUGCUAAUUGACAAUAAAGUGGGGGGCACUAGAGAAGAACAUCAUUACCUUAGACUAGGUAGAGGGAAAUGAAGAAAGGAGAGUGGAGGGGAUAUAGGAAUAGGAAAGACAGUAGAAUGAAACAGACAUUAUUACUGUAUUAUAUAUGUGACUACAUGAUUAAUAUGAUUCUGCAAUAUAUACUCAGAAAAAUGAGAAAUUAUAUCCCAUCUAUGUAUGAUAUAUCAAAGUGCAUAAAUGUCAUGUAUAACUAAUUAAAACAAAUUAAAAAUUAAUUAAAAAAGAAAAGGUAAGCCUCGGUUAGAUGGAACGUUCACAUCAUGUGGAUGUCUUUCUCUGUAUGUGCUUAUAUUUCUAAUUUCAUAGUCAGGCAUGGCCUAACAAUGGGGACUCUUUAUGAGAAAUGUAUCAGUAGGUGAUAUCGUCCUCUGAGAUCACUAUAGAGUGUACUUGUACAGGGGAAGAAGGCUAUGAUGUCACCAGGCAGUAUACUCUCAGGGGACCCCCAUCUUAUAUGCAGCCCAUCGCUGACUGUGAGGUUGGUAUGUGUUGCAUGCUUGUACAUCCAUAGGUCUUUGCCUCUGGACUGAGCCUUCAGAUGCUGGCAGGUUGGAUUUCUCUUUUUUCCUCCCCACCCUUCCAUCUCACUGUGCUCCCUAACACCAUUCUGCACUCAUCACUACCUAGUGGAUCAUCCCAGUUCCCUCCAUUAAAAGGCCGCCUCCAGUAGAAUGAGACAGACAUUAUUACUCUACAUACAUGUAGGAUAUAGUCAACUACUGGUGUGACCCUGCAUGAUGUACAGCCAGAGGAAUAAGAAGUUGUGCUGCAUUCAUAUACAGUGUGUCAAAAUGCAUUCUACUGGCAUAUACAACUAAUUAGAACAACAACAACAAAAUCCACACCUGGAUCUUCUCUGGAACCCUCCAGCAGGCUAGGGCUCCUUCACAUACAUUCUUCCAGAUGACACACCAGUUGUGGGAGCUGGUGACUUAGGAGGAUGACUGCCAGAGGGUAAGAGGGAGUGGGGACAGGGACGCUGAACUUGGCUUCUCCCUGCUGCACAUCACUUCUGAUGUAGGUGGAUCCCUCCUGGACACCAUCCAAUCCCUGCCAACAGCAGGUGGGGUCCUGGCUACCAACUCUUUAAUGCCCAAUAGUGAGCAGCAAGAGGACACUAAGUUUUAGCAAAUAGUCAUCUCCAGUCAUACCUCUCAGUAUCCAAGUGGGAUAGGUCACAGAACCCCUUGAAUACCAAAAUCACCAUAUGCUCUACUCCCUUAAAAAAUUGUGUAGAAUUUGCAUGUAACCUCCACAGUCUUCCUUCCAGAUACUUUAAAUCAAACUGAGAUUCUUUAAGAUGUAAAUGCUUUGAAAUGGUUGUCAAGGUCUUUUUUAGGGAAAAAUGACAAGGAAAAAAGUCUUUAAGUAUUCAGUAAUGAAGUGAAUAUUUUUUCAAACAUUUCCAUCUGAGGGUGGUUGAGUCUGUGGAUGCAGAAGCUGAGCCUACAGAAGGCUGACUACUGAUUACAGAGUCUUCUCUAGAAAGGCACAAAAUGGGCAGAACUGGACCCAGAGGCACCUUCUGGGGAAAUGAAGAAUAGAACCUUCAUCUCUCUCUAACUGUUGCCAGUCAUAGUGACUUGUGUCCAAGAAGCUGAGGGUUUGCAACCCCAGAAGGUGAGAGGGAGCUAGAGGAAAUCUUCCCCCAACGAUGCUGUGGAGGUCCCCAAUCCUCACUGCAUCCCUCAAACUUCCCUGCGGUCAGGAACGAUGGAAAACAUGCCCUAGUUUUCAAGAAGCCACCACUGAGUUAAGACAAGGGCAGCCCACUAGGGCAGAAAGCAGGGCUGGAGGAUGGAGGGGCAGGGCCAGAGCCCUUCCCACCAGGUCAGCUGUUGGGUAGGACAGCAAAGUGCAGGUUACUGUCAGCUAUUCAUCAGCCCACUCAGACCAGCCGGAGUCCCUCUUUGCUUCCUGGCCCCCACCCAGCUGUACAUCCCCCUGGGGACCAGUCCAGGCUCUGGGAGGACCACAGCCACGCACACCAGGAGAAUGUGCCAGGACAUGCUUUGGUUGGCACUGCUGGUCUGUCUGUGCUUGGGAAGCCCCACCCUGGGUCACAACAAAUAACACAAAUGCAUCCUUAUCACACAAGAACUGCACUGAAAAAAUGGAAAGAAACUUGUAUUACUGUGAAAAAACCACAUAAAUGAAAUUAACAAGCAGAAAUGUGAUAUACAUGUCUUAGCUCAGACUUUGGCUCACAUUUGCUGGGUUCACUCCCUCCUCAACAUCAGCAUCUCAUGAAUAUUCCACUAUGUGUUGCAAUGUUUUUCUCACUGUUUGUAUAACAUAUAAAACUAAAUAAAACCAUGCACAACAAAUUGGGAGUUGUCAUUAUUUUAAAAUGGCAGGAUCUGGCAGGUGCUGUCUUCUAAUGGUGGUCUGUGGGUGCCAUUAUGGACAGUGACAAUGCUGUGGUUUGGGUAAGUGCUCCCAAAGGUCCAAGUGUUGUCACCAUUUCAGUCUUGUCACCAUACUGAGGUGCCAUCAUGACCUGGUGGUAGCACUAUGAAGGAGUACUAACUGAAAAAAUUGGGGCUUCUAGGAGCAUUCUACUGAAGGGGAUAUUGUGACCCCAGCCUCUUUCUUUUUUGCUUCCUGGAUUGGCAAUGUUAGAGGCUUCCUCUGCCACUUACUCCUGCCACCAUGUACUGCAAAAUCCAAAAGAUCAACCGACCAUGGGCUGAAACCUCUGAAAUGAUGAACCAAAAUCAACCUUUACUCUUGUUAAAUUGAUUUAUGUCAGUAUUUGUCAGAGUAAUGAAAAGCUGACUAACAAGGCCAAUAAUGCCAAGGGCUCAGCAGAUGACAGGGAAAAAAUUUAAAAAAUGGGUCUUAUCAUACUCACUCUUCUGCAUCUUUGGAUGUCCCUCCAGGGUGUGGAAUCCCUCCAAUGCAGCUGGACAGCUUUAAUCCAUUCCUUCUCCAUUGACUGACACGAAUGCUAAUAAUGUGUAACAUGAACACCACCUAAAUGUUCCCUGUUGAUAAAAGAACAAUUUGCUAGCAGUUUUGACACAAUGUUCCAUAAACACCCUGGAACUUCCUGAUGUUUUAAUUUCUAUGUAAGGUUUCCUAGGAAUAUUUGCAUUUUUAAUUUUCCUGGAUGCUCUCAGGUGCUUUCCACUUAGGCUGCUCCUGUGAGGAUAUCGUAGGUGCAGAUGGCGGGUGGGUGCACAGUGCUGACUGGUGUGUCUUCAGUCAUCCUUCCCUGCCUGGGGGAACUGGGGUCUUCCCCAUGCAUGCUCUGGAUCUGCACUUAGGUCUCCUUUCUCAUGCCUCAUCUUCUCUAUGUCUUCUACUCCCUCUUCCUUUGCAAGGAAAGUGCCACUCGUGAUAAGCCCAUUAUGUCUGAAUGAGGCACAUUUAAAAAGACUUGCAAAGUCCCAGAUGGCUUUUACAAUCUUUAUUUUGCCAAACUUUUAAAUAGGCCCAUAAGAUUAAGCUUGGCUAUGGUCUCUGUCUCUAGAAUGGGGGUGAAGUAUUUGGAGAAGUCAAAUAUCAGUUGUGUGGUCAUUAUUCCCCUGCCCUCUGUCCCAGCUUAAUUCUAAUGAGAAGUCCUCUUUCUGGGAUAGUUAAGGAGGAAAGAUGGUGCAUAACCAAGUACCCAGGAAAUGCUCUGAACUUCUUUGCAGUCAGCCAGCAGUGUGAGCACAGGGAUGGAUGGUGUAGUAUCAGCUCCUAUGCUCACAGCCUCAUAUGCACAGCAGGUGUAUCAGUCAGCAUUCUUGGUGGCAAGUUACAGAAACCUGAAUUAUCUGCUCAUCUUCCCUUGGGUCGAGUGAGGUGUUUCCCCAAUAAGGAAGAAAUAAGAAAAUGUGAACUUUGUCCUGUGAGUAUGGACCAGAGAGUGGACCAUACACUAUGCUAAAUAUUGCCCAUACAUUAAAAACCAUGAGGUAGGAACUAUUAAUAUUUUCAGUUUACAGACGAGUUUGGCAGGUAAGACUGCUAAAAUUGAAGUCUGUGGUUUAGUGAUUUUGCCGUGAACAACUAUAUGUGUCAGCAGGUCAUAUUAAAUGCUGCAGCAUGUGGUUGUAUAGAAUGCAUGUAUGUCAUUUCUGGAGAGAUCCUUAGACAAGUUCCCUGUGGCUUUCGGAGGUGGGAUAAGUCUGGAUGUGGCAGAUUGAGAGCAAUGGGCUGUGUCUCUGAAGAUAUGAGUUCUUGGGUUUGGUCCUUAUUUGCUAUGUGGCCUGUCAUAUCUAAGUUUUAGUUUCUUCACCUUUUAAGGAAUGGGUUAAAUUUACCAACUGAGAUGAAAUGCACAAAUUCCUCAAAAUUUACAACUCAAAAUGAACAGAAGAAGAAAUAGAAAAUCUAAAUAUCCUUGCGUCUGUUUAAGAAAUUGAAUUUGGUAGGGUUGUGGCUCAGUGGUACGGCACUUGCCUAGCACAUGUGAGGCACUGAGUUUGAUCCUCAGCACCACAUAAAAUAAAUGAAUAAAACAAAGGCAUUGUGUCCAUCCACAACUAAAAACAUUUAAAAAAUUGAAUUCAUCAUUUAAAACCUCUUAUCUCCUCUUCUUCACAACUACAGGCAUAUUUCAUCAAAUACUUAAGGACUAAAUAAUGCCAAUAUUAUACAAACUCAGAAAAUAAAGAAGAGAAUUGCUUGCAACUCAUUAGGUCAACAUAAUGCUGUUAGAAAAUCUGAAAAGGACAUUAGAAAAAAGGAAAUCAAUAGAACAAUGUCUCUAACAUAGACAUAGAAUUCUUAACAAAAUGUUAUCAAAUAGAAUUUAUCAAUACUCAAAAACAUAAAUGAGUUGACAUUGGAACAGUUAGGUAAUUACCUUCCACUGUCCCGUAUCAAACCCUUGACAGACAUCACUAAUCAAUUGCUCUGUUGUUUUAUCUUCCAAACUGAAUCAUUCUCAGUCUCACUCUCAGGUAGCUUGUAUCAAGAUACUCUGAUUCUGUUAUCUUGUUGAAAAUCUGAGGUCAUUUUACAAGCAAGCCUUUCCCUCAAGUGGGGUGAAUUCUUCCAGAUUAGACAUGGAAGAGCAAGACAAGGAAAGGGAGUUGAGAGCAAGAAUGGGUUGUUUUGAGCAAUCCAUAGGAAGGAAGAAGCCAUACAAUAUUAAAUGCCUAAAAGGAGCCUAACCUUAUUUGUUCUCAUUUAUUGCUCUAUGGCCAGCCCCCAAGGACAAAAUGUGACACAUGAACUUGCAAGACUGGGGAGUGAAUGAAUGACUUCUGAGGGAAACUAAAAGUGGUUCCGUCUUCAUAGUGUUAUGGUUACUGCCUUUGAGUCAAGGAGACCCAGCCAUGAGUGAUGAGACAAGAGAUUGGGGUCCAUCCCAAGGGCUUCCAUGAGAGAUUUAUGCAUCUAUAGACCAAUUAUUCUUAGCUGAGUAACCAUAGUAGCCUUGUCUCUCCUUGGGAUCGUGGGCACCCAUAUCCGUUCACUCUGUUGAUAUUUGCCUGGCUGCCUCAAUCGUUUCUUAAGCUCCUAUUCUGUUUUAGAAUGUAUUGUCUUCCUGCUCUCCUUCCUCCCACCUGGUCUUUCUCCAGUGUUUGCUAUCUCAGUGAAACCAACAACCUCCCAUGCAGUUAUACAGGCCAGAAAUGUAGAUGGCAGCCUGCGUGUAUCUCUCUCCACUUCCUAAUUAGUUCUCAGACAUUCUACAUUUUUCUGUCUUCAUCACCACCAUCCUGCUCUGAGUUCCCCUCAUUCCUUGCUUGGAAGUUUGCAAAUGUGCUGACAGCUCUCUCUGCACCCACUCCACACCCUUGCCCAUGUGCAUCCUCCAGUUGCACCUGAGUGAUCUGGCCAAAAUGCAAAGUAGUUGAUUGACACCCUGCUUAAAGCCUGCUGGUGGCAUCUCACUGUUCCUAAGAGGAAGAACAAACCCUCCCAGCUGCUCUACAAAUCCUUGGGGAUCUGGUCGCUGCUGUCUUCAGCUGCAUCACAUGCCUCUCACUCCUGACUGUCUGUGUGUUCAUCUCACUGAGCAUUUAGAUCCUCCAACAGCAUGUUCUUACCCACUCUCUGUCUAGGACUCUCUUCUGCCUCCUAUUUAUCUGAUUAUAAUUCCUUCAGAAUUCUUGUUACUUUCUUGGGAAAGACAUCUCUAACCUUCAUCUCCACUCCUUUCCCAACAGGUUGUGGUAGACUCUCAAAGAAGGAGGCUGAGGCAGGAAGAUUUCAGGUCAGCAACUUAGGAGACCCUAUCUCAAAAUUAAAAGAAAAAAAAAAGAGAAAGAAAAAGGACUAGGUAGGUAGCUUAGUGACAGAACACCAUUGGGUUCAAUCCCUAGUAUUGCAGGGUCAGGACCAUAUCGCAUACUAUGGUCCAUGGAUGAAAUUUUGCCCUCUGCCUAUUGUAUAAAUAAAGUUUUAUUGGAACACAGUCAUGUUCAUUCAUUUACUUGUUGUCCUUGGCUGCCUUUGCAUUACAGGGACAUAGGAGAGUAGUUGCAAUGGAGACCAUAUGGCUUGCAAAUCUUGAAAUAUUUACUAGUUGGCCCUUCACAAAACAAAGUUUCUCAAGACCUGGGUUUGAGUCCCAGCUCCAACACUGACUUGCUGCAUGACAUUGAGAAAGUCAUGUUUCCUCUCUGGGCUUCAUCUCAUCAAUCAAAUGGAAAGAGUAACAGGAACCAUCUCACCUAAUUGUUUCAUGUGAUUGCUUUGCGCAUUGCCUGGCAUAUAGAGUAUGCUUAAUAAACAAUAGCUAUUUUUUUGGUGUUAAAUUGAUUAUUCAUUGAUUAACGCAUUAAACAAAUAUGCACUUGCCGUGUACCAGAUGGUCAUAUGUGAAUCCCCGAUUGGACCAAUAUUAAAUCCUUACCCUGGAGGAAUUUACUUAUGAGUGGGGAGAAGAGAUAAUAAAAAAAUCAUAACUAUUAUUAGUAGUACUAUAAACAGGGAAUGCCACUACUAGUGGUAAAAGGAAACCACUCUGUGGACCUAAGACAAAAAUAGGUACGUCUUUGGGGCUUGGCAGUAAGUUUUCUUCCUUCUCGCAGAUACCCUGGCAGCUCCUAAGAAAACGUGUUCAUCUUGGAUGCAGCUGACAGAGGUGGCAUGGAUGGGGCUGAGCUGGUGGAGAGACCGGAUUUCUCAAACCCAGGUUUCUACACCAAAUUAUUGAAAAGGAAACCUUAUCAAGCAGCCUUCCAGCUUGUUGUCAUCCAUCUUCCAAAGAAUUCAGUAGCCCUUGGUGGUUGAUGAUUUACGGGACAGUGGCCACGAGGAGGUUGCUUUUUGUAUUAAUCUGUAUUUUAUCAAAGAUCAGCAACCUGCUGGCUGGGGCCAGAAGCAGCAGGCUCUUUGUGGAAUCCCAUUAACCCCAGUCUUGGCUGCAGCCAGCUCUAGACUAGCAGAGGACUGCUGGCCACUUGGGCAGAUGAAAGACUUUGAUCAUUCUAAGUUGGGAGUUCUAGCUGUUGAAAGAACAGCUACCCUUUCUUAAUGGCAGCAGGGUUCUGUCUUCUCUAGAAAGAUGAUUUUAAGCCUCCAAGCCUAAAUUUGAUUAAUGUCACAGUUGUUUAAGGUUGAGGGGGGUCAUCCAUGCUUUGCCAAUGAAAAGGCAAAGCUUAUAGAUGGUUCCUUAUCUUAUGCCUAGACUGAGUAAGCCAAGGCCAAUGCCUGGGUCACUUGUAAGGAAACCUAGGGUGUCUGUUGUCUCAGAUGUCCUGGUUUUAGCUUUUGUGUUCUGGGCAUGCCAAGGCAAUCCUCAUGAAGCCAGGACUUUGUUCUCUCAUGUAUGACUUCAUUUGCAGCACCUAGUACUGGGCCUGGCACCCAGUAGGUGCACAAUAAAUAGGUUGAACAAAUUGAAAUGUGCCUGGACCUUUGCAUAUGUUGUUGUCUAGUCCUGAAAUGGUCUUCCCAUCCUGAUGCUAUUCCAGUUGUCCUUAAGGUCAUAGCUUAAAAGUCAUCUUGAGCCAGUCAAUGUCUAAACUGGAAAAUAGAAAUUAUGACAGUUAAUUUAAUACAGGAAAUGGCUAGAUACAUACUGAAAGAUGAAAGAGAAAAGAGAGAACACUGCCUGUUGUGUAAAUAAAGUUUUAUUGGAACACAGUCAUGUUCAUUCAUUUACUUGUUGUCCAGUUACAUAGUAACUGCUCUGGAUUAGCUCACACUUCUGCAUAACAGACCACCCCAAAACUAGCUUCUUAACCCAGCCAACCUUCAUUAUCCUAUUUUCUGUUGGCCUGGAAGCUGGGCAAGUCUUCAUCCUCUGCCUAAGGAUGCUUCAUAAAUCGACCACUGGGUGUCAGCUGAGGCUUUGGUCUCAUCCAAGGUCCCACCUGAGGAAGGAUCUGCUUCCAAUCUCACUCGAGUGGUCAUUGGCAGUCUCUUGUAGGCUCCUUGGACUGGAGACUUUAGUUUAUCAUUGUCAUUGGCUGGAGGACCCCCUCGGUUCCUUGCCUGGUGGGCGUCUUUCUGGGACAGUUCACAACAAUGUACCAUGUUCAUCAGAGCAUGUGAGCAAGAGAAAAGCCAUGACCAGGGCCACAGUGUCAUUACUGAGUCUCAGAAGUCACUUCACCCCUGCUAGUAGGAGUGAGUCAGAAAGUCCGUCCCACCACUCCAGGAAUGAGGGUCACACAUAGACAUGAACCAGGGUGGAGGGCCAAGCCCAUUCCAGAGGCUAGCCCUGAUGGGCAGAAAGAAGCUAAUUACACCACAGGGCUGGAAGGAUGGCAGCGAGGUUAGAGUUUUAGGAGGAGGGUUUGAGGAGGGUCCCCACUGAGUGUGACCCUGGCCAGCUGAUACUGGGUACCGUGAGGCUGUUUCUAGGAAUGUGAGGAGAACACCUGGAAACAGGAACUAAUUACUCUUUCUGAAACCAUUCGGUGCUGCCUGGGGUACCAGGAGAGCCACCAGUAGUAACAGCAACAGGGUGUCGGCUUGAGCUUCUAUGAUGGCUUGAAUCACAUCUCAUCAGAGUUCACGUGAAGUGCCUUAGGAUGUGACAACAUUUGGAAACAGUCAAUGCCGAUACGGUUAGCUAAGAGGUGGAUUUGGGAGGACCCAAUCCAAUACAGUGGGUGUCUUUCCAUAAAGGAAAAACUUGGACAGAAACACACAUGGAGAGAAGGACAUGGGAACAGGAAGUCAGAGAUCAGGGUGGCAUUUCUACCAGCCCAGGAUGCCAAGGGUUUCCAGCAGCCCUUGAGAAGCAAGGAAAGAGGUUUAGGACAGAUUCUGUUCCUCAUUCCUCUGAAGAAACAACCCUUGGGACACUUUGAUCUUGGAUUUCCAGUCUCCAGAAUUGAGACAAUAGAGUUCUGUAGUUAAAGCCCCCCACCAGCCUGUGGUACAUAGUUGCCCCUUAUCCAUGAUUUUGCUUUCCGUGAGUUCUCAUAACCAUGUCAACCAUGGUCUGAACAAUCCAGAAACAGGGUUUGUAAGUUUUGAAUAACUUUGAGUACAGUAUACUAUUAAAAUUGUUCUAUUUUAUUGUUAUUGUUAACCUUGUAAUCUUAUUGUGCCUCGUUUAUAAAUUAAACUUUAUCAUAGGUAGGGUAUAUAUUUUUAAAAAAAACCCAAACCUACACAGGGUUUGGUACUGUCCAUGGUUUCGAGCAUCCUUGGGGCUUUGAUGGCAUUCCAUAUGGUAAUGGGGGCGGGGAGGCUACUGCACAUUGCUAUGCUCUGGGAAGCUAACACAGCCUCCUUCAGCCUUGAGGUCAUCUCUGGAACCUUUUGUCUUACAGAACUACCAUGGAUGCUGGCUGUAGAGUCUCAGUCCAGCACGGCCAUGUAGGACUUAGAAGGGUGGGUGGACACUGAGCCAGGGUUGUGUGAAGGCCAGCACAUGUGUCUUUGGGGAAGGUCUUUGGUGACCUCCUCCACCCCCUCCACACAGGCCCUGUUGGGUCUCCACCUUUCUCUAUGUCCAUUUAGUCCCAUGCACCACCUUCUCUCAGGCACUUACCAUAUCUCUUUGGUUGAUUAUCUCCUCCUCAAGGCCAUGUAUGAGCCUCAUGAGGGCAGGUGCUCUCACUGUCUCCAAUGUUAAGUGUGGUUUUUAGCACACAGAAGGUGGUUAGUUAAUGGUCUUUGCAUUGAAUGAACAAAUGCUGGUAGAAGCAGAGAAGGAGAUGCUCCAAGACAGGGAGGUUGGGUUGAACCAGUUUGAACAGCCGUCACAUCAUAUAUGUGUCUCAUUCAGUCCUGAAACUAACCCUGCAUGCAUGUACUUUUAUGUUCAUUUUGCUUAUGAGAAAACUGGAGAUCAAAGAGAGAAAAUGACUUGCCCAAAGUCAUCUAGAUGACAAGUGGCAGAGCCUGGACUCAACCUCCUUUCAACUAUCUAGUCUCCUUUUCUCUCACAGUUUUAGAGCCAUCAUGCAUUAAGAACUUACAUAUCCCAGGAACUGGGUUGGAUGCUAUCAGCAUGUCCCUGUCUCUGUUCACAUUUUUAUUAGCUGUAUCAUCAUUUGACCUUGUCAUAGAGCACACAGUGCUGGCACAGAGCUGGAAACCAAAUGGAACAUUCCACCCAGAUCCCACUCCACUGUGUAGCCAGACAGCUGAAAUCCAACCAACGUGCCUCCACUAUGAGUAUUAAUAGAUUGUUGAUAGAUCUGAUGGUUUCUUUAAUUGAUGGCUUCUGCCAUUAUUAAGGAAGAGACUUUUUAUAAGGCUCACAACAAUUAUUAAUCUUGGAAACAAGAGUGUAGAUACAAAUGUUAUUUGUCCUUUUGCCAAGAUAAAUAAGCACAUAUGCUUUUAGUCAAAGUUGUAAGAAUUUCUUUAGCAAAUAUUUCAGGACCUCUUGCAUUUCUGAUCCAGAAAAACUGUAAGCCUAUAAAUGUUUGUGGUUUUUAUAUGCUUUGUUUGGGAUAAUUUUUCAAAUACUAGCAUUCACGGGUAUGUUUGGCAAAACCAAAUAGACAAAGGGAAAACCAUGUGUUCAAGAGCAGAUGCUUUUCUUCCCUAAACCCCAAGAUGAAGAGGAGGAAAUGGAGUCUUUCAGGGGUGCUAGGCACUGGUGUUUUGUUACCAAACCAUGCCUGUCAUGCCUUCUCACAGUACGCCCUUCCUAGAGACAAAGCAUUUUGCAAAAAAGAAAUAACUUUCUCACAAGGUUGCCAAGUGUGAAGAUGGGAGUCUCAGAUGUCAAAUCUGCCUCCCUGAGGCUAGGCUUGAGGGUCAUUUAUGGGAUGAAGGAGCAGGUGGCAGUGAUUGGCGGUGAAGCAGUCAGUGGUCUGUGCAUGCACAGUCUACACUGGUGGCUCUUCAUGAGUCAUAUUUUUGGAACAGGGUGGUGUCAGCUUGAGGUGAAGGUGAAGUUUUUAGGCUUCUGACAUCAAAGUCACCUGUUAGACACUUUCAGGUCCAAAUGAAGAGUCAAUGGUUUUGACAGAGGUGUCCUUCACAUCCCUGGUAAGUGACCUACUUAUGGUUAAGACUCACACACUGGAGAGUCUUAACACAUUGCUCAGCUGGUGGACAUCCCAAAGGAGUGAUUUUUAAGUGAACUAAAAGCUAGUAACUCAAAGCAUAUAAAACUGGAGGGUUUAUUUGAGGUUUUCUUGGAGCCUCUGUGUGGUCUUUCAUCUGCUGUGUCCCAAAAGGAGAUGGGAGAGAAUCCCCUCCUUCCCUUGUAUGGGGUGGAGAAGCGGAGGGUGGUGGAGGCCUUUGUGAACACAGCAUAUUCCUAGACUUGCUCAAAACCAAAUCUCUGUGAUGAAGGAAGUAAAAUGCUUUGACUCUAAGACACUCAGACUCCCAUGGUCAAUAUCACUAAGGAGGAUAUUGCACACUGAAUAAAACCGACCAUGCAGGGGAUUCAGUUUCAUUUUGUUGCAUAUGGAUGGAAGGAGACCCUCAUUGUUAUACAAAAUUACAUAUAAGAGGUUGUGAGGGGAAUGGGAAAAUAAACAAGGAGAGAAAUGAAUUACAGUAGAUGGGGUAGAGAGAGAAGAUGGGAGGGGAGGGGAGGGGGGAUAGUUGAGGAUAGGAAAGGUAGCAGAAUACAACAGUUACUAAUAUGGCAUUAUGUAAAAAUGUGGAUGUAUAACCGAUGUGAUUCUGCAAUCUGUAUUUGGGGUAAAAAUGGGAGUUCAUAACCCACUUGAAUCUAAUGUAUGAAAUAUGAUAUGUCAAGAGCUUUGUAAUGUUUUGAACAACCAAUAAGAAAAAAAACAGACCAUGCUUCAACCUUCAUGUGAUAAUACUGAUCACUUAAAAAGUAUUGAGGGAUACAUACUUUUAAAAUAUUUUACUGUGCAUUAUUUGAUCCAGGAUGCUUGAAAAAGCAUAAAUAGGGAUUCCUAAGUAAGUCUUUAAGGCACAGAACCUAUGAUAAAUAUCUUGUAAUGGGGACAAGAUACCAAGUCACUUACAUCAAAUAUAUUUGAUUAAAAAUACUUUGAUUAAACUAAAAAUAAAUGUUGAUAAAUGAAUUUGGAACAUUGUAUGAUGUGUUUUUAUUUUAUUUUUAAAUGUUUGGUUGUUUGGGUUGAACUCAGGGGUGUUUUACCUCUGCACUAUAUCCUUGGUAUAUAGCUGUCNCAGGAGGAUUGCAAGUUCAAAGCCAUCCUUCGCAAAGGUGAGGUGCUAAGCAACUCAGUGAGACCCUGCCUCUAAAUAAAAUACAAAAAUAGGGCUGGGGAUGUGGCCCAGUGGUCAAGUGCCCCUGAGUUCAAUCCUUGGUAUCCCCUGAAUAAGACCUUCUCAUUGUAUUGGCACCAAGAACAAGGACCAAACUUUCAGUAUCAUGAUGACCAAUGAUGCUGAGCUUCUUUUCAUGUGCUAUUGGCUAUUUCUAUACAUUCUUUGGAGAAAUGACUGCUUAAAUCAUUUGCCUAUUUUCUUUUUUUUAACAUUUUUUAUAUUUUAGUUGUCAGUGGACCUUUAUUUGUGCCUCACACAUGCUAGGCAAUGCUCUGCCACUGAGCCAUUGCCCAGCCCCAGGCCUGUUUUCUAAUUGAAAUUUUUUCUUGUUUGUUUUUGUGUUAUAUAAGAUCUUUAAGUCUUCUAAGAUAAAAACAUUUAUAAAAUUAGGCACUGAAAAUAUUUUUUCUCAUUCUAUGGUUUGUUUUUUCAUUUUCUUCAAGGGACACCCCAGAGAGAGAAGAAGGGGCCACAGGGAAAAUGAACCCAUGCCAGGGCACAUCCCCAGUGACCCACUUCUUCCAGCCAUGUUCUACCUGGCUCCAGUUACCCCCUGGUCAGUCCAUUCAAACUAGGAUUGACCAGUCAGUUUUCAGCUCUCACAAUCCAGUCACUACAACUCUGAGAAUUCCUGCAUUAACUCAGAAGAUUUUGGGGGGGACACCUUAUAUCCAAACCAUAAUAGUGAUAUUUCUAUUUUCUUUAUUCCUUCUUUAUUUAUUAAUUGGAAUUCUUCUGAAAGGGAGAGUUAUAACUUCAUUAUGUUAUUUUGUUAUAUCACCAUAGACUCAAGGGCAUUUAUUUUACUCUCUGGGUUACAAAUCAAUUCUAUCAUUGUUUCAUUGCUUUAAUUGUUCCAAACUCUUUCAGUUUGAGUUCUAGCCUUUAAACAUACCCUUUUUAAUAUAUAUAUAUCUUCCUUACUUUGGGAAUACCAAAAUCAGUUUGUAUUUUACCUGAUUCAGAUCCAAGGACGCAGGGUGUGGGAACCAGAUGUACUCAUCGCUGCUGGAGCAUCUCUCCUGUCAGUUGUCAGUGAUAAGAAAUAUAUCUGUGUUUACUCCCUGUGUAUGUACACACACACACACAUCUGGAUGUAUAACUGUUUUAAGCACCAUAGGGUUCAUUCUAGUCUUCCCUCUUUUCUUACUGGUAGCUUCCCUCUAUAACAGUGACAAGUCUGGCUCUGACUCUCUACAGUCAAUUUGCUCAACUCUGGGACACAUCUAAAACAGUUUUGAAAUUCCUGACCUAUGACCCCGUGAGAAACAAAUUUACUAACAGAGUACUGCUUUAAUAUAGUUCUUUUUGCAAACAUUAGCAAUUUUUUGUUUUCCAAUUUAAUUAGGUCAGUUACUUACAUAUUCAUUCCAUUCACCUUGAUUAUGUGAUUCAUUUGAAAUAUAACUAUGCUUGUUUGUCACCAUCUAAAUGGUAUUUUGCAUUGCCCCACAGCCUGACCAGCACUUUAAAAUUUGCAUUUAUGAAGUUUGCUCUUUGUCAUGCACAGUUCUGUGGGUUUUGAUAAAUGUGUAUUCGUCUGCUCAGAUGUUAUAGUACAAUACCACACACACUGGGUAGGUUAAAUAACAGAAAUUUGUUUUGUCACAACCCCAGGGUCCAGAAGUCCAGUAUCAAUAUGCCAUCAGGGUUGGUUUCUGGUGAGGACCCUCAUCCUGGUUUAAGGAUAACCAGUUGCCUUCUCUCAGUUUCCAUGUGUUCAAUACACAUGGAGAGAGCAUUCUGGUGAUUCUUCCUCUUCUUAUGAGAACACUAGUUCUAUAGGAUUAGGGUCCCCCCCUCAUAACCUCAUUUAAUGUCAAUUACCUUAUAGAUCCUAUCUCCAAAUACACUCACACUAGAAGUUGGGGCUUCAACAUAUGAAUUGUGGGGGACACAUUUCAGUCCAUAGCAAAAUUAUGGAGUCCUCUCCUCACACUGAAGUGCCAUGCAGAAAAGUUCCAGAAACCCCAGAAUUCCCUCCUGCUGCCCCUUCAUAGUUAACC